ensembl:lncRNA
CAUGGACCAUUCACAGGAGGCACUGGUGCGAUGCUGCCUAGGCUGUGGCUGGUCCAGCCAUGCAGCACGUAUGGGCAGGCACUCCUGUGCUCGGCGUCAGCUGCAGCCUUCCCAGGGCCUUUGAGUGACAGCCAAAGGUGUCUCCUCACCGUCGACAGAGCAAUCAUUCUCCAAAUGUCAGGCAGGCAUUUUCACAGCUCUCCCCACACUAGAGAUUUCUAGUUCUCCUGAAGACCCAGGGUAAGAGAUUGUGCUGUCACUGGACAGAACAAGAUAGAAACAGUUCCUGGUUCCAGGAAAACAGGGAAGAGAUGAAGCCCUGCCUAGCGUGGGAUUGAGAAGUGGCUGAACCUCUGCCCAGCAGGAAGGGAGCAACAGAGAGCACAGGGCAGUGCCUGAGCUCCCAUCAGUUCUCUUGGAGGGGCCGCCUUGUUUCAUCCCAAGGAGAACCUCAAGACCAGAAACAUAUUCCAAAGCUCCAGCAUCGUCCUGCUCCUCCCUUCCCUGGAGAUCUGCAAACUUUGCCAAGACACCCACAAACACCGUGAGGCAAAUGGAAUGCGGAACCCCGGGCUCCAGUAAGAAGAUGCUGUCUUCUGGAGGCUCCCACCUGGUGUCUGUGAAAUUACAAGUGCAGGGGAGACUGCCCUGGCUGGGAGGAGCCCUGUGAGAAGUGUGGAACUCAGGGGCCAACUCUUGGAAAGCUUAGAGCUUAACAUGGUCUGGUGCGUGGCGCAGAAACCUCCACAGAGAUGGGCGAUCCAGAAUCUCCACCUGGCUGCCCCCAUCUCUGGUAGCCAGCAAAUCUUGCAAGUGAAAUCACCUCUUCGAGCCUCAGUUUCCUCACCUGUCAAAUGGGCAUAUUGACCCCCACCCUAGAGAUGUAUACGAGACUGUGUGUGUGUGAAAUUGUAGGAUGACAAGCUGUUCUGGAGGUACUGGAUGCUGAUAGACUUGGGACAGCAAAAGGCUGAAUGUACCCAAAAGUCCCCAUGGGGAUCCCGCAUGCUCACAGCCUUAAACUGGGGUCGGGUGUGUGUUUGAGGCGGGGUGGAGUUUGGUUCAGCUAUUGCCAGAGGGAGGCUUCACCACUUGGGACAGCACCCCCACCCCACCCCCACCCCCACCCCCGCCGACACACACACAGUGCCAGAGGUGGGUCCCCCAGCAAACUCUCCGCACCCACUUCCUGUCGGGAUUUUGAGGGAAAACGCCUCCAUUUUAUGUAACACCAGCCUGAACCAACGCACAGAUCGCACUGCACCAGGUUCUGGGGGCUCGUGCUUCCUUUCCCGAGUUUGGUCCUCCCAUGAGUCAGAGGGAGCCGGAUCAGUGGGAGCUUAGUGGUUUUACUGGAGGGGAACCUACAGGAAAUCAUUUAAGAAGAUAAUAAGGGGGAUUUUUCCUGUCUAGAGAUGAGGCCCCUGGGUCUUUGCAGAUGGUGCUAUUUUCUCAGAUUCAGAAAUAACUGCAGGAGAAGAGCCUCAGCUGGUUCCUAAGUCAGUACAACUGGGUCAGUACACAGACCCUCCUGGGACAGGACCAAGCUUUCAUGCCUUGAGCUUUGUCAAAGGCUCAAGUCUUCACAGAUCCGUGGGACUCCCUCGCAGCACCCAGAGUCCUGGCAGGCUGGGCUCUUCCUGAGCCUCUCGUGGCUCGCCCAGCCUCUCUUCCCUGUUAGAUUUGCCUGAUUACUUGAAAUGUGAUUAUCUCUGGAACUGAAAUUAUAAGUGGAUUUUCAUUCUCUGCUGUCUCAGUUGGUAAGGAAUCUGCCUGCAAUGCAGGAGACCUGGGUUCAAUCCCUGGGUCAGGAAGAUCCCCUGGAGGAGGGGAUGGCAACCCACUCCAGUGUUCUUGCCUGGAGAAUCCCAUGGACAGAGGAGCCUGGCAGGUUACUGUCCAUGGGGUCGCAAAGAGUCAGACAUGACUGAGUAGCUAACACUUCCCACUGAGGUAGAAGGUAAUUACUUUGGGUGGUGCCCCUACUGUCGAUAUGUAAUUUCUCUUUUAAUAAAUGUUUUGACACCUUAAGUUGACUAGCGUUGAACCUGAGUAAUGAAAGACAGGUAUUUUGCCC